UACGAAGGGGGUUAGCGUUGCUCGGAAUCACUGGGCGUAAAGCGCACGUAGGCGGCGUCUUAAGUCAGGGGUGAAAUCCUGGAGCUCAACUCCAGAACUGCCUUUGAUACUGAGGGCCUUGAGACCGGAAGAGGUCGGCGGAACUGCGAGUGUAGAGGUGAAAUUCGUAGAUAUUCGCAAGAACACCAGUGGCGAAGGCGGCCGACUGGUCCGGUUCUGACGCUGAGGCGCGAAAGCGUGGGGAGCAAACAGG
rnacentral:rRNA from 1 species